rnacentral:rRNA from 1 species
UUGAGAGUUUGAUCCUGGCUCAGAACGAACGCUGGCGGCGCGCCUAACACAUGCAAGUCGAACGAGAGGCCGUAGCAAUACGGUAGUACAGUGGCGAACGGGUGAGUAAUACAUGGGUAACCUACCUUCGAGAGGGGGAUAACCAGCCGAAAGGUUGGCUAAUACCCCAUACGCUUCCGGUCCUUCGGGUAAGGAAGGAAAGCUGCAUCAGAUGAUGUGGCGCUCGAAGAUGGGCUCAUGGCCUAUCAGCUAGUUGGUAGGGUAAUGGCCUACCAAGGCAACGACGGGUAGCUGGUCUGAGAGGACGAUCAGCCACACUGGCACUGAGACACGGGCCAGACUCCUACGGGAGGCAGCAGUGAGGAAUAUUGCGCAAUGGGCGAAAGCCUGACGCAGCGACGCCGCGUGGGGGAAGAAGGUCUUCGGAUUGUAAACCCCUUUUAGGAGGAAAGAUGGGGUGGUUACACCACUCGGACGGUACCUCCAGAAAAAGCCACGGCUAACUUCGUGCCAGCAGCCGCGGUAAUACGAAGGUGGCGAGCGUUGUUCGGAUUUACUGGGCGUAAAGAGC